GACGAACGCUGGCGGCGUGCUUAACACAUGCAAGUCGAACGAUGAACCAGGGCUUGCCCUGGGGAUUAGUGGCGAACGGGUGAGUAACACGUGGGCAACCUGCCCCAGACACCGGGAUAACCAUUCGAAAGAGUGGCUAAUACCGGAUACGACCACUUUGGGCAUCCAACGGUGGUGGAAAGGAUUCUGGUCUGGGAUGGGCCCGCGGCCUAUCAGCUUGUUGGUGGGGUAAUGGCCUACCAAGGCGACGACGGGUAGCCGGCCUGAGAGGGCGACCGGCCACACUGGGACUGAGACACGGCCCAGACUCCUACGGGAGGCAGCAGUGGGGAAUAUUGCGCAAUGGGCGAAAGCCUGACGCAGCGACGCCGCGUGAGGGACGAAGGUCUUCGGAUUGUAAACCUCUUUCAGCAGGGACGAAGCGAAAGUGACUGUACCUGCAGAAGAAGCACCGGCUAACUACGUGCCAGCAGCCGCCGCGGUAA
rnacentral:rRNA from 1 species